rnacentral:rRNA from 1 species
GACGAACGCUGGCGGCAUGCCUAAUACAUGCAAGUCGAGCGGACAGAAGGGAGCUUACUCCCGAAAGUCAGCGGCGGACGGGUGAGUAACACGUGGGCAACCUGCCCCUUAGAUUGGGAUAACUUCGGGAAACCGAAGCUAAUACCGAAUAAUACAAAGAACCUCCUGGUUCUCUGUUGAAAGAUGGCCUUUGUGCUGUCACUAAGGGAUGGGCCCGCGGCGCAUUAGCUAGUUGGUAAGGUAACGGCUUACCAAGGCGACGAUGCGUAGCCGACCUGAGAGGGUGAUCGGCCACACUGGGACUGAGACACGGCCCAGACUCCUACGGGAGGCAGCAGUAGGGAAUCUUCCGCAAUGGACGAAAGUCUGACGGAGCAAUGCCGCGUGAGUGAGGAAGGCCUUCGGGUCGUAAAGCUCUGUUGUGAGGGAAGAACAAGUACCGGCGUAACUACCGGUACCGUGACGGUACCUCACCAGAAAGCCACGGCUAACUACGUGCCAGCAGCCGCGGUAA